GAUGAACGCUGGCGGCGUGCCUAACACAUGCAAGUCGAACGGGCAUGCGCAUGAAACCUAGUGAUUGCGCAUGCGAGUGGCGGACGGGUGAGUAACGCGUGGACAACCUGCCGCAUGCAGGGGGAUACCGGCUGGAAACAGCCGCUAAUACCGCAUAUGCGCACAGCACCGCAUGGUGCAGUGCGGAAAGGAUUUUUCCGGCAUGCGAUGGGUCCGCGUCCGAUUAGCUUGUUGGCGGGGCAGCGGCCCACCAAGGCGACGAUCGGUAGCCGGCCUGAGAGGGCGGACGGCCACAUUGGGACUGAGACACGGCCCAG
rnacentral:rRNA from 1 species